AUAAGUGAUGAAAAUACAACGACAAUUACUGUGCAGGCAAGUUCAACAGUUAACCCUGGACAAGGCCAUCAGCGUUUUUAUGAACCGGGCGAAUAUUAUGUCAUCGUGCCCAAAGACGGUAAUACCAAUGGGGGGGCCACGGCCUCCACGGUCCCACUUUUACGUCUGCCCGGGGAUGGUGAACCAAGAACCGUUCACAAACAGGAAGCAAAUUGCAUACAGUGCAGCGCGUUGGUAAAAGAAGAGUUGGUAACAGAAGAGUUUGUUAUAUUGAAUAUCGAGUGUAAAUGUUCAAACACCUCUCUACUCCAUCUGGAUUGCAAGGAUGCAUGGCUUCAACGCAACGGGGAUAAGUGUUCUCGUUGUGAUAAAAAGUUCACAGUUAAGAGUGUGACGCUGGGUUUCUCCUCUCCUCAAACGAAUAGUGAUAAUUCUCAUGCCCCAGCUCCCCAAACCAAUAGUGAUAAUUCUCUUGCCCCAGAACUAGAAGUUACUACAUGGAAAAGGACUUGGUUCUGUUGGCAUGACUGAUGACGUGGAAUUAUUGAGUUAGAUUUUUCCAAUAUCUACGUUUCAAGAUUUUUCCGAAUUUCCAUGAUUGAAGGUUAUGUUUGUCCUUUUUAAUAUUCCACUGCCAAUGCUUAUGAUCUUUGGUAAAAGCUUGGUAUUAUUUCCUAUUGGGUGUACGAUUUGAUAUUUUCAAAACACGUGCUUGAUAAUGAUUUCUUUCUGCGUACUUCAA